rnacentral:misc_RNA from 1 species
GGACACCCAAGAACUCAUGACAGUAG